rnacentral:pre_miRNA from 1 species
ACAACAUUUGGACCGUCAAUCUAUCGAGCAAUAACACCCGCUCGGUGGACGAUCUUUCGUCGU